rnacentral:rRNA from 1 species
AACGAACGUUAGCGGCGCGCCUAAGACAUGCAAGUCGAGCGAGAAAGGGCUUCGGCCCCGGUACAGCGGCGCACGGGUGAGUAACACGUAGGUCAUCAACCCUCGAGUGGUGGAUAACCCUCCGAAAGGAGGGCUAAUACAGCAUGAUGUUAGCAAUAACCAAAGCGGGUCUCUUCAUGAAAGCUCGCGCUAGAGGAUGA